rnacentral:rRNA from 1 species
GACGUAGGGCGCGAGCGUUGUCCGGAUUUAUUGGGCGUAAAGAGCUCGUAGGCGGCUCAUUGCGUCAACCGUGAAAACCUGCCGCUCAACGGUAGGCUUGCGGUUGAUACGGGUGGGCUGGAGUUCGGUAGGGGAGACUGGAAUUCCUGGUGUAGCGGUGAAAUGCGCAGAUAUCAGGAGGAACACCGGUGGCGAAGGCGGGUCACUGGGCCGCAACUGACGCUGAGGAGCGAAAGCAUGGGGAGCGAACAGG